CUGCCUUGUCCAAACUCCAAAGCAGUCUUGCAGAAACACCUAAAGAAAGUUUCUAACACUGUCACACGCCACAGUAGGUCCGUGAUAAAACUCCAAUUCAUGGUUGAAAACUUGAAAUGUUACGGCGCCCAUGAAUAAUUCACAUAUAACACAUGGAUAGUGCCAGCGAAACCUUUAGCAGGGCACUAAUUUGAUUCCUCGACAAAACUGAUACAUCAAAAAACAAGCUAAAGUGCAUCCAUUUGAUCUGGGUACACACAGAGCCACCGAUCUAAACUCUGGAG
rnacentral:lncRNA from 1 species